rnacentral:siRNA from 1 species
CAGGCCUCGAUGAGUAGGAG